CUUUCUUCUUCUUGUACUUGCUCCCCUUCUUUAGUAAGGGACACUCAGCUCUGAUGUGCCCCGGCUUCUUGCACUCAUAACACCCAAUCCCCUCAUUUUCCCUUUCCUUACCUUUAUCCUUGCGAUAGGAAUUUGAGGGGCCUCUCCUUUGAUGAUAGGACUUCUUGUGGUUGAUGAAUUUUCUGAACUUGCGCACGAGAAGAGCCUCAUCAUCAUCUCCCUC
rnacentral:lncRNA from 1 species